CCUACGGGAGGCAGCAGUGAGGAAUAUUGGUCAAUGGGCGCGAGCCUGAACCAGCCAAGUCGCGUGAAGGAUGAAGGAUCUAUGGUUUGUAAACUUCUUUUAUAUGGGAAUAAAGUGCGGAACGUGUUCCUUUUUUUAUGUACCAUAUGAAUCAGCAUCGGCUAACUCCGUGCCAGCAGCCGCGGUAAUACGGAGGAUGCGAGCGUUAUCCGGAUUUAUUGGGUUUAAAGGGUGCGUAGGUGGUUAAUUAAGUCAGCGGUGAAAGUUUGUGGCUCAACCAGAAACUUGCCGUUGAAACUGGGUGACUGGAGGAUAUUUGAGGUAGGCGGAAUGCGUGGUGUAGCGGUGAAAGGCAUAGAUAUCACGCAGAACUCCGAUUGCGAAGGCAGCUUACUAAACUAUAACUGACACUGAAGCACGAAAGCGUGGGGAUCAAACAGGAUUAGAUGCCCGUGUAGUC
rnacentral:rRNA from 1 species